rnacentral:lncRNA from 1 species
AUGACUGCUAGGGGGUCCUGGCUCAUCUUCUUCCAGGGCUUUUUGUUCUCCGUUAAUAGGGACACUGGAAGGGUUGUCAUGAUGAUUACAGUGUCCAGGGCUGUGGAACUACAGAAGGCGGUAAGAAUAUUUAAUUGUAGAGUUGGGAAGACACAUGCAGAUGGCAGAAUUCUAGAACAACGCUGUACUGAGCUGCAUUUCUCUGGUUUGUCCUGGCACGUACGAGUUUGUAGUACAGAAUGAGUACAUUCAUCGUGGGAAGUUGGUGAAUACACGUAACAAUCUUAAUUCUUUUUAUCUCCCCUUUCCCUACUUCCGCUCUCUUUCCCUCUAUCUCUUUUUCCUCUUCCCCAAUUUGCAAAAGAUCUAUCUCCAUGUUUCCCAUUAUAUGUCUUUUAUUUUGAUCUUCAAUUUAU